rnacentral:rRNA from 1 species
UGAGCAAUCUGCCCUUCUCAUCGGAAUAAGCGUUGGAAACGACGUCUAAUGCCGAAUACGACCUCCUUUCGCAUGAUCGGAGGUGGAAAGCUCCGGCGGAGAAGGAUGAGCUCGCGGCCUAUCAGCUAGUUGGUGUGGGUAAUGGCCCACCAAGGCGAUGACGGGUAGCCGGCCUGAGGAGGGUGACCCGGCCACACGUGGGACUGAGACACGGCCCAGACCUCCGUAGGGAGG